rnacentral:rRNA from 1 species
CCCUUUGAUACUCUGGGCGGCACGCGCGCUACACUGAAGGAAUCAGCGUGGCUUUCUCCCUGACCCGAAAGGGUUGGGAAACCCGUUGAAUCUCCUUCGUGAUAGGGAUUGGGGCUUGAAAUUGUUCCCCAUGAACGAGGAAUUCCCAGUAAGCGCGAGUCAUAAGCUCGCGUUGAUUACGUCCCUGCCCUUUGUACACACCGCCCGUCGCUACUACCGAUUGAACGGUUUAGUGAGGGCCUCGGAUUGGUCUCGGCCCGCUCUUUACCGGGCGGCGCCGUUGGUCGAGAAGACGCUCGAACUUGAUCGUUUAGAGGAAGUAAAAGUCGUAACA